rnacentral:rRNA from 1 species
AUGGAGCCACAUAUCUUUAGAGCACUGACACCAUACCUUAGAAGGGUAAAUUUGAUGAAGGACACUACAAUAAAGGUGGAGGAGAAGUUAGGAUUUUUCCUUUACAUGUUGUCUCACAACGCGUCUUUUGAAGAUCUACAACUAGAAUACCAACAUAGUGGGUGGACCUUCCAUGAAUACAUCAAGUCUUUCUUCGACAUCAUCCCCACUCUAUCUUCUCGAUUUUUGUGGCAUCAAAUCAUCAAUGAACCUCACCCAAAGAUUGCUGGAGAUCCGAGAUUAUUCCCAUACUUCGAGAAUUGCAUAGGCGCCAUCGAUGGAACUCAUGUUCCUCUGACUAUAUCACCUGACAAAGUUGCCCCUUUCCGGAAUAGGAAGGGAACUCUUAGCCAGAAUGUCAUGGUCGCAUAUGACUUUGACCUAAACUUCACAUUCAUCUCGUGUGGUUGGGAGCGGUCAGCUACAGAUGCUAGAGUGCUCCAAUUGCCGUGA